rnacentral:rRNA from 1 species
AGAGUUUGAUCAUGGCUCAGAUUGAACGCUGGCGGAAUGCUUUACACAUGCAAGUCGAACGAUGAACCUUAGCUUGCUAAGGGGAUUAGUGGCGAACGGGUGAGUAAUAUAUCGGAACGUGCCUUGUAAUGGGGGAUAACUAGUCGAAAGAUUAGCUAAUACCGCAUACGCCCUGAGGGGGAAAGUAGGGGAUCUUCGGACCUUACGUUAUAAGAGCGGCCGAUAUCUGAUUAGCUAGUUGGUGGGGUAAUGGCCUACCAAGGCUUCGAUCAGUAGCUGGUCUGAGAGGACGACCAGCCACACUGGAACUGAGACACGGUCCAGACUCCUACGGGAGGCAGCAGUGGGGAAUUUUGGACAAUGGGCGCAAGCCUGAUCCAGCCAUUCCGCGUGAGUGAAGAAGGCCUUCGGGUUGUAAAGCUCUUUCGCAAGGGAAGAAAACUUACAUUCUAAUAAAGUGUGAGGCUGACGGUACCUUGAUAAGAAGCACCGGCUAACUACGUGCCAGCAGCCGCGGUAAUACGUAGGGUGCGAGCGUUAAUCGGAAUUACUGGGCGUAAAGCGUGCGCAGGCGGUUUGGCAAGUCAGAUGUGAAAUCCCCGAGCUCAACUUGGGAACUGCGUUUGAAACUGCCAGACUAGAAUAUGUCAGAGGGGGGUAGAAUUCCACGUGUAGCAGUGAAAUGCGUAGAGAUGUGGAGGAA